AGACCCGAAACCCGGUGAUCUAGCCAUGGGCAGGUUGAAGGUUGGGUAACACUAACUGGAGGACCGAACCGACUAAUGUUGAAAAAUUAGCGGAUGACCUGUGGCUGGGGGUGAAAGGCCAAUCAAACCGGGAGAUAGCUGGUUCUCCCCGAAAGCUAUUUAGGUAGCGCCUCGUGAAUUCAUCUCCGGGGGUAGAGCACUGUUUCGGCUAGGGGGCCAUCCCGGCUUACCAACCCGAUGCAAACUGCGAAUACCGGAGAAUGUUAUCACGGGAGACACACGGCGGGUGCUAACGUCCGUCGUGAAGAGGGAAACAACCCAGACCGCCAGCUAAGGUCCCAAAGUCAUGGUUAAGUGGGAAACGAUGUGGGAAGGCCCAGACAGCCAGGAUGUUGGCUUAGAAGCAGCCAUCAUUUAAAGAAAGCGUAAUAGCUCACUGGUCGAGUCGGCCUGCGCGGAAGAUGUAACGGGGCUAAACCAUGCACCGAAGCUGCGGCAGCGAACGUAUCACCCAAGACAACUUUACGGAGUUGACGAUUGACGGAGCGAAGCGACGUCAAAGCGUUCAUUAAAGUCGAGUUGGCUUAGGGAUACGUUCGUUGGGUAGGGGAGCGUUCUGUAAGCCUGUGAAGGUGGC
rnacentral:rRNA from 1 species